rnacentral:lncRNA from 1 species
UCUCUUGUGCUUUGUUUCAUUCAUGGGCGUGGAUGACAUAGGGUUAGUUAGAGUUCUGCUACUUUUGGGCUUAAUUGGCUCCAAAGCCUGUUGUUUAUGGAUGGUCUCUUCUCCCUGUGCAGCAGCAGCAGGAUGGAUUCGGCACUAAGCCGGCGUGAGCCACAAAUUUGCCAUGGUGAGCUACUCCAGAUCCUCUCCCUUACUUCGUAGCCACGGUUUCUUCGUGACCAUUAAGCAAUGUAUGGUCUCAAUUAGCAUUUUGCGGUGGUAAUUGAUUCACGAUGCGGUGUGGUGGGGUUGCACCUGCACGUUAAUUGUUUAAUGCAUGGGAGGAGAAAUAAAUUGAGUGUGCUUCCAUUGUCGAUGAUCUUUGAUUUUUAUAUAACUGUAUAUAUGCAUUAAAGGUAAGCAUAAUCCUAAAAAUAAUAUUUUGUUACCACGCAUGUGCAUAACAAACUUAUUUUCUAAUUCACGCAAGAAAGGAGCUAUUCGCAGUGAUCAUGCUGUUGCCAAGACUAAGAGAACCAGUGUUAUAUCAGGUGAUGCCUUUUGCCACUUGAGAGAUCCAGCAUGGUAUUUUUACUUUUCUGCUCUUAAAAAAAGAAUAAAAAAGAUACUGUUCCAAAUGCUCUUUCAGUUUUGUCUGUAAGUUUCCUACAACGCAUUUGCUAUAGUAUUGCUAAGAAUAAGAUGCAUCAGCUGACAUACUGACUACCAAGCAAGAGCUACACUAUUGUCAGACAUCAAUCCAUGAGCUAUACAGUUAUAUUCCCUCUGUUGGCAAUACAUUUCUCU